CACAACUUCUGCCUCCCUAAUCAACAUAACCUGGAACAGCAAAAUAUCUCUUCUGCAGAUCUAUUUGCAAAAGGAGGCUUGCGAAAAUGCAGCUAGCAAAGGAUACAAAAGAAACUAGAAGAACUGCAGCUGCUGAACGUACACUUCCUCCCUGCCUGAUCACAGAYGAAAGCACUGCGGGGGCCGGGAGAGCAGUUAGGGCCUUCUCCAGAAGUCAAGGGCCUGAUUUGCUCAGGAAACGAACAAACAAGCAAACAAUGGAU
rnacentral:lncRNA from 1 species